AUUGAACGCUGGCGGCAGGCUUAACACAUGCAAGUCGAGCGGGGGAAGGUAGCUUGCUACCGGACCUAGCGGCGGACGGGUGAGUAAUGCUUAGGAAUCUGCCUAUUAGUGGGGGACAACAUCUCGAAAGGGAUGCUAAUACCGCAUACGUCCUACGGGAGAAAGCAGGGGAUCUUCGGACCUUGCGCUAAUAGAUGAGCCUAAGUCGGAUUAGCUAGUUGGUGGGGUAAAGGCCUACCAAGGCGACGAUCUGUAGCGGGUCUGAGAGGAUGGUCCGCCACGCUGGGACUGAGACACGGCCCAGACUCCUACGGGAGGCAGCAGUGGGGAAUAUUGGACAAUGGGGGGAACCCUGAUCCAGCCAUGCCGCGUGUGUGAAGAAGGCCUUAUGGUUGUAAAGCACUUUAAGCGAGGAGGAGGCUACUCUAGUUAAUACCUAGGGAUAGUGGACGUUACUCGCAGAAUAAGCACCGGCUAACUCUGUGCCAGCCGCCGCGGUAAAAC
rnacentral:rRNA from 1 species